GACGAACGCUGGCGGCGUGCUUAACACAUGCAAGUCGAACGGAAAGGCCCUGCUUUUGUGGGGUGCUCGAGUGGCGAACGGGUGAGUAACACGUGAGUAACCUGCCCUUGACUUUGGGAUAACUUCAGGAAACUGGGGCUAAUACCGGAUAGGAUCUCCUGCUGCAUGGUGGGGGUUGGAAAGUUUCGGCGGUUGGGGAUGGACUCGCGGCUUAUCCGCUUGUUGGUGUGGUAGUUGCUUACCAAGGCUGUGACGGGUAGCCGGCAUGAGAGGGUGACCGGGCACAUGGGGACUGAGAGACGGCGCAGAAGCCUACGGGAGGCAGCAGUGGGGAGUAUUGCACAAUGGGCGGAAGCCUGAUGCAGCAACGCCGCGUGCGGGAUGACGGCCUUCGGGUUGUAAACCGCUGUCGCCUGUGACGAAGCGUGAGUGACGGUAAUGGGUAAAGAAGCACCGGCUAACUACGUG
rnacentral:rRNA from 1 species